UAUGCUCUUGACUGUCGAUAGGUGUGCACUCUUGUCUCAGGCUCUUGACACUGCAACAUUAUAUCACCAUGGACCAUACUACAGAACUAUGAGCUAAAAUGACCUUUUCUUUCCCAUUUGCUUUUCCUAGGGUAUUUUAUUGUAACAAUAGCAUUGAGACAUACUAAUAAAUUUAAACAUUUUGUUUCUCUUUUGAGGAUUUUUAAAAAUGAAACAUAAAGUAUAUAUGGCAUGAAAGGCAUUGUCCAAAGAAUGCCAAGUGCACACAUCUCACUAGUCUAUCUCUUGAUGGACAGCCUCCCUCAGUCUCACUCUCUGUCAGGCAUCAUUCAUUUCUCCAGCCAGGAAACAGCAGAUUCCUACUAUGCUAACCCUGGCUUGACUCACAGCUGUAUAUUACCUCCAAUCUGAAACUAACUCAGAAGGAGGUUAUGGGACUCACAGUGUUCCCAAUGGGGUUGUAUAAGCAAGAACCAGUUCCUAAGGGAGAGAUGACUCCCUGGUAGCACUGCCUGCAAGCAGUAUAGCAAACUCCAGGGAUUCAACUCCUCCAAGUCAUCCCCCAUAUUGGGUUGCUUUGUUAGUAACUCAGCUAGCUGACUAUGUCAACCAUAAUCCGAAAAGCUCAAUAAUAAUUUCUCUCCCAUUCACUGGGCUUGAAAUCACUUCAGAGACAAAAUGUUGGUUGUUUUGGGGAGUUUGAGAGAAGCU
rnacentral:lncRNA from 1 species